GUAUCAAGUUCUUCCAAAACAUUAAAAUCAAAAUUUUGUAUAAAUGUUGCCUUUGACCUAUUUAGGUGAAUAUCUCAAUACGAUUUCACCAACGAUGCGUCUCAUUUCAUGGUGAGACCUCACAAAUACCCUUGUUCCCUUGCCAGAUAUAUUGUAAGAUGCUUUUAUAUUUGUCCAAAUAGCUUUAUCAUGAGAAACAAUAAAAUAUUCUCUCCCUGUAGAUAUAGAAUAUGCUCAAAUUUCCCCCUACUUAUAACAUUAAACACACUCAGUUGCACUCCCUCCUAAAGACAGCACAAGUAACCAUAAAUGUUGUCUUGAGUCGGCUAGCAAAUGUAACAAAAUGUGUUUACUUGUGUUUAGCAUAGUACUGUAGUCUGUAAUGUUGAUCUUGAUAGCGAUUUGAAAAUAUGAUUGUAGGUAUUACAGUGAGCUUCAACUUUCUGUUGCCCUGUAUAUCAAAAGAAAGCUAUCCUAUGUAAAGUGAAUGUCAUUACAGUUUUCUAAUUUUUGCUGGGAUCUGCGGAGGACCAGGAAUUUUAUCCCUGAGCAGUCCCCCAGGAUAAACAAUAAAGUAAAUAAAUAAUAAUGAAUAUUAUGAGGCAUCAUAUUUAUAUGAAUAAAGAAAUAAUUUAAGUUUUUGUUUCUUCAUUUUUAAUGUUUGCAGUAUCUAUUUUAAAUAGUGUAUUUCGUAGACGUUAUUUGAAAAUUUAACCUAAGCAAGAUGUUAACCAGCAGUUUUUCAUAAGCAGGUAGAUUUUGUGUGUUUAGGCAGGAAGGAAAUGAGGUGAUAAAGUUAUAGAACUACAAAUUAUUAAUCAGAGUCUUAGGUUUUUAUCCUUAGUUGAACCUUAAACUGACUAUGUAUUGUAACAUUUUCUAAUAAAAAUACAUUGGUUUGA